UACGUAGGGUGCGAGCGUUAGUCGGAAUUACUGGGCGUAAAGCGUGCGCAGGCGGUCUGUUAAGACCGAUGUGAAAUCCCCGGGCUUAACCUGGGAACUGCAUUGGUGACUGCAUUGCUGGAGUAUGGCAGAGGGGGGUGGAAUUCCACGUGUAGCAGUGAAAUGCGUAGAGAUGUGGAGGAACACCGAUGGCGAAGGCAGCCCCCUGGGCCAAUACUGACGCUCAUGCACGAAAGCGUGGGGAGCAAACGGG
rnacentral:rRNA from 1 species